UUUUUUUUUUUUUUUUUUUUUUUUUUUUUUUUUUUUUUUCCCAGAGGGCUUUGAUGCUCUUUCCAGCAGGUCAGGCCCCAAGCCAUCAUGCCUUCCCCAGAUGUGAUGUGGGAGGAUAUUUGUCAACUCCCUCAUCAUAGCUUAUACCCCUGUGGAUCACUAGAUUUUGUGGUGCUGGGUAAAUCCUGUGGAUUUUGAAGAUGGGGUUCAGCUGCUUUUACAUGAAACGUGUCCCACAACAAAAAUUGCAGAUCUUGAUACUGCAGCCUGAUUUUUUCUUCUAAGUGUUUUUGGCAAGUGCUUCUGGACCAACUGGGACCUGGAGGGUGGAAAGGACCUGCGAAGGCUGCUUCCCCUCACACAAGUCAAGUCGGAUAUUCCUGAGGAAAUGAAAUGUGUCAUGUGCUGCUUCAGUAGCUUUUCAUGUACUGCUGUAUUUGGUCAGGAGGGUCAUAUCCCAACAUGUGACAGUCAGUCACUUCAAUAAUUCCUGGAAAAACAAAUAGGAACAGAAGUAGUGGGAAUAAUGGAGCUAGUCAUGAAUACUCCUCUCCAUGUUUUCAAGCAAGCAGGGGGACUCCAGCUCUGUGGGUUUUUGGCCCUGGGAAGUUGCACCACUAUUUGUCAAGUUUGCUUUAUUUAGGUGCUUCAUAACCGCCCUUGCCUGGGCUGGAAAGGUGUUUGCAGGUGGGUUUUGGCUCAGUUGAGUUUACUUUUGGAGCCACUCCAUGUCAUCUACUAGUGUAACAAAUCUGUGUGUACACAGUUAUUUAUGUAUUUGCUUGAGUUUAUAAUAUACAU